rnacentral:lncRNA from 1 species
UAGCACUCAAAAAUUAAAAUGACCAAAAUAGCACCUUUCAAAGUUUAUCCUUUGUAAAUUUUAAUUUUUUUAUUUUUCAAAAUUUGAAAUCUUAUCCCCAAAACCUCAUUUCUCAACUCUAAACCCUAAACUCUGAACCCUAAACCCUAAACCCUAAACUCUAAACCCUAAACCCUAAACCCUAAACCCCACCCUUUAACU